AGAUUCAGAAAAGCUGGUGCCCAACAGAGCUGGUGUUGAAUGGUGUGCGUAAGGAGUUCCCACUGCCAGAAGUCCCAAACAAGGUGUACAACUUUAUAAAUGGGACAGGCAUGACUUAUGAGGCCGAACAUAUCCGAGAGUGUCUGCGCAAGGGUCUGAAGGAAAGUCCUGUGAUUCCUCUAGCAGAAAGUGAGCUGCUGGCUGACAUCCUUGAAGAGGUGAGAAAGGCCAUUGGAAUCACUUUCCCCCAAGACAAAUACUGAGAUGUGCCCUCCAUAAAUAAAAACAUGGUUUCUGUAGA